CCAGAGAAUUUAGCAGAGAUGCUUUAGUGCCUUCGGGAACUCUGAGACAGGUGCUGCAUGGCUGUCGUCAGCUCGUGUUGUGAAAUGUUGGGUUAAGUCCCGCAACGAGCGCAACCCUUAUCCUUUGUUGCCAGCACGUAUGGUGGGAACUCAAAGGAGACUGCCGGUGAUAAACCGGAGGAAGGUGGGGAUGACGUCAAGUCAUCAUGGCCCUUAUGAGUAGGGCUACACACGUGCUACAAUGGCGCAUACAAAGAGAAGCGACCUCGCGAGAGCAAGCGGACCUCAUAAAGUGCGUCGUAGUCCGGAUUGGAGUCUGCAACUCGACUCCAUGAAGUCGGAAUCGCUAGUAAUCGUAAAUCAGAAUGUUACGGUGAAUACGUUCCCGGGCCUUGUACACACCGCCCGUCACACCAUGGGAGUGGGUUGCAAAAGAAGUAGAUAGCUUAACCUUCGGGAGGGCGUUUACCACUUUGUGAUUCAUGACUGGGGUGAAGUCGUAACAAGGUAAGCGUAGUGCU
rnacentral:rRNA from 1 species